CAGUAUUUAGUUUAUUGAAAAUAUAAUAUUUGGGUUAUUAAGAAUUUUUACUGA
rnacentral:tRNA from 1 species